AUUGAACGCUGGCGGCAUGCCUUACACAUGCAAGUCGAACGGCAGCACGGGUGCUUGCACCUGGUGGCGAGUGGCGAACGGGUGAGUAAUACAUCGGAACGUACCUUAUCGUGGGGGAUAACGCAGCGAAAGCUGUGCUAAUACCGCAUACGCCCUGAGGGGGAAAGCGGGGGAUCGAAAGACCUCGCGCGAUUAGAGCGGCCGAUGCCUGAUUAGCUUGUUGGUGGGGUAAAAGCCCACCAAGGCGACGAUCAGUAGCUGGUCUGAGAGGACGAUGAGCCACACUGGGACUGAGACACGGCCCAGACUCCGACGGGAGGCAGCAGUGGGGAAUUUUGGACAAUGGGGGCAACCCUGAUCCAGCAAUGCCGCGUGAGUGAAGAAGGCCUUCGGGUUGUAAAGCUCUUUUGUCAGGGAAGAAACACCGGCUCUAACACAGUCCGGGAAUGACGGUACCUGAAGAAUAAGCACCGGCUAACUACGUGCCAGCCGCCGCGGUAA
rnacentral:rRNA from 1 species